AAACAAUAGUUUAAAGUCAUCACUCAUGCCAUUUUUUACUUAUUAUUCACAAAAACUUAACGUUGUAAACGUUAAAAUAUGAAAUUAGGGGCUUUUGAACGCAUUCAAACUAAAAAUCAAAAUACUCUGUGAACCUGUGAAAACACUCCCUCCACUUCAUUCAUACAACAUACAAUAACAAUGAUAAAACAAAAUUACAAAUGGAAUUUCCUUAUUUAAAUAGAUAUUUGUGCACUAAAUACAUAAUAAUAUGAUAAAGAAGAAGAAGACGUUGCGUGUCACCGUAUAGCCAAGGAAAUAUCUUGUGAAAGUUUUAACUCAAGGCGGAAAUUUAUUGAAAAAAUACUCAACAUAACCUACAAUUACAGUGAAAUACUGACAAUAUCGUACCGUGAUAAUAUUUCUGAAUAAUAAGUGCAAACCCAUACUCUAAGAUCGUGCUUUCAACCACAUACUUAAUACAAUUCCAUAAUCAUAUCGAAAUCCAAAAGUUCGUAAGUCGUAAGUGAUCAUAGUUUAGGUAUGUACUUAUUAGACUCAUGCAUUGUAAACUCUAUAAACGAUUACUCGUAAUGUAUUAAUCAUAUUAAAAGUUGAA